ACCAGCUUGGCCAAGCAGCACAAAAAUUGUCUGGUUGGUCUCGUCGGACACCAAAAGUUUCAAGCGAUAUCUUCAAGAAGAGAUUACAAUAUUAGGAUGAUCUACUGGAAAGCACAACAUAAAGGAUAUGACAACAGAGAUAUUCUAAACCUGUAUGUUACAUCAGAGGCAAGCACAAUGUCAUGAUUUUUACACCAAAAAUCAACACCACUCGCAACAACUGAUGAAGAACACUAAGGGCAAGUUGUGUAAGACCAGUGAUAAUAUUGAUCGAAUCCAAUGAUCUUUGCCAAACAAAGAUAUCGGGGCUCCUACAGGGAAACAAACCGGCAACAUGAAUGGCCAAACACCGACAAUGAACAGCUAAACAUGUACAUACUAACCGAAUCUCCACCAGAAGUAUAAAGAUCAAGCAAUUCAUUAAUGGUGCGCUGCGAUUCAGCUAGAUGUUGUUGUAACUUUUCUGGAGUAGGAAAUUUCGGAACGACAAUCUAGAUUUGUCGAGGUUGGGCGACAAACCUAAGCAGGACAUAUUGUAUGGUAGAAUAAAAGGAUAAGACAGACAAUUUUUGUGGAAAAGGCAGGAGAGGAUGACAUGAAAGCAAUGGACGUACACUGCCCUAAGGAAGUCG
rnacentral:lncRNA from 1 species